AUUGAACGCUGGCGGCGUGCCUAAUACAUGCAAGUCGAACGCAUUGAGAGAAGUGCUUGCACUUUUCAAUUUGAGUGGCGAACGGGUGAGUAACACGUGGGCAACCUACCUGAUAGCGGGGGAUAACGAGUGGAAACAUUCGCUAAUACCGCAUAACAAUAGAGAAGGCAUCUUCUUUAUUUAAAAGGCGCUUUCAAGCGUCACUAUCAGAUGGGCCCGCGGUGCAUUAGUUAGCUGGUGGGGUGAAGGCCUACCAAGACGAUGAUGCAUAGCCGAGUUGAGAGACUGAUCGGCCACAUUGGGACUGAGACACGGCCCGAACUCCUACGGGAGGCUGCAGUAGGGAAUCUUCCACAAUGGACGAAAGUCUGAUGGAGCAACGCCGCGUGUGUGAUGAAGGCUUUCGGGUCGUAAAGCACUGUUGUAUGGGAAGAAAUGCUAGGCUAGGAAAUGAGCUUAGUUUGACGGUACCAUACCAGAAAGGGACGGCUAAAUACGUGCCAGCCGCCGCCGUAA
rnacentral:rRNA from 1 species